CCACUGGAUCCUCGCCCGAUGGCUUCUCGCGAAGCAUCCGCACGGCAACUCACGACCUCCGUAGCCAGAUCUCAGGCUCCGGUCUCACCUCUGGUUUCUCGAGCUCCACAUCCUCUGGCUAUGGUCGCCGACAUGGAGUGGUCGGACAAUUGACCUCCGACGAAUUUCGCCAACACCUUCUCGGGAGGAUCCCGGCAGGAAGCAACCAACGU
rnacentral:lncRNA from 1 species